GCCACCGCACCCCCCCUAUAAUCUAUUCAGUUUUAUGAAAAGAGUGCGAAAAGCGAAAAUUGUGCCAAACAAAGAAAGGAGGGGGGGGAAGCUGUAUUGUUUCAUACACAAAAACUAAUCAGUGACGUUGUCACUAAGUGGUUGACUUGAAAACGCGUGAGCGGCAAAUAUUUGUAAAGUGAAAAAAUGAAAGAGAAAAGGCCCGGCAUGAAAGGGUUAAAGACAUCACCAGCGCACGUGAUGCGAUUUUUCUGCGUCGGUAGAGCGAUGGGAUCGUGUGACGUCACUACGCCGCGCCGCCUGCCAGAAUAAGGAUGGCGUCCAGCGUGUGGAAGGGAAGGUGUUGUGUAGUUGUGGGGCUCCUCGCGCUAGGGCACGCGGCUUUAUUAGCGGCGCCACGUGAGUACGACAGAAACGCGCGGUAAAACACAGUAAAUGUGGUUUGAGGGGGAAACAAAAUCGGAAACGGACUGUUGUGAAGAGCUGUUCACGUCACGCUGUCGUCGAGAUUAGUUACUAAUCUUAGGACGUCGUUAUGAUUCGAUCGAUGUAAACGUCGCUGUUUCACCACAGCAGCACGGACACACAUUGCAGUAAAUGCGCUGGAAAACAUCGCCUCGACCGUCCUUUCCUUUGAACAGACCUUCCGUUACAAUCUGACCUCUGACCUCACGCUGCCCCGGGUUUGGCGAUGAGCACCGACCGCCUCAGACCUCCUGCAGCUCCUCUCUUUUCAGAUCGACGAUGCUACGUGAGCCUCGCAGGAGGAGAAUGAGACACUGACUGCCUAUAGUGAGGUUGUUCCGCAGGCUUUAUUCGCAUUUUUGGUAACCUCUUAGGGCACGGUCCGCAUCGCAGGAGAAUUUAAGAACGCGGAUGCUUCCUCAGAGCUCAGAAACAAAGCUUUUGACACGUUGAGAAAUCGCCCAUCCUUCUCCAUGUUCAAUCACAGGGGUGGGGUGCUGUUCCGGCCACUGGAGCAGGAGGCAUCGCAGAGCUCCGCCCCCCAGGCACUACCCUCAAAUCCACUCUGGCUACGCAAGCUGGAUGCCCAGUUUUUAGACUGGACUGCUGUUUGGAAGAGGAGAGGGAAGCUGGGACAAACCUGCACUUUCCUGUCGUCUCCCUUUACAGACGUGCUUUGGCAAUUCGGAAUCGCAUUUCAUGGUUGCAAAUGUUACUUCAGCUCGUGAUUUGGCUAGUAAAUAAACAUUUGGGUGUAGUUCUGACCUCCUGACGAUUCCGUGUUCCCAGAAUUACCCAGUUCCAGACGGUUGUGUAACCACCUCACGUGGUUGUGAGAGACUGACUGACCUUUAUCUAAAACGAAGACCUAUUUUACUUUAAUUUCUUUUUUUGGCACUAGGAGUUGCAGAGGAAAUGUCUUUUAUACAAACAUGAAGCCAGUUAUUUUCAUGGGAGGUGAUCAACUGCUACACCUCAGGAAGUCUGCAGUUGAGGUGCUAGCUUAUUCAGGUUGUUGUUUUGAUGUAGAUGUUCAGAAGUUUGAUUUAGCAGCAUUGCUAAUUCACUAAUGCUAAUUUUCCAUUACGUUUAAAAUCAACCGUAUACUUGGAGCCUUCCCCCAAUCAUGUAUCAGUAAAAUGAGAUUAUAUUUUUCCGUGUUAAUACCUUACUUUUCCUGGGUGCGCUAUAAAUCGAUAACCAUGUUGUGGGAUACAACUUGUACGUGCCCUGCCAAGAUGACAUCAACAUAGAAUUUUGAUUCCUUCUCCCUGAACGCAAUUUAAAAAAAAAAAAAAAAAGCACAGUAGUUAUGAAAGAUUACAGCAGCAAGGGCAUAUCUUCAGCAUUUCCAGAACUUUCUGUUCAUUGUGUCCAUUAGAUUAA